AUACAUCGUGCUUACUUACCGACAGGAACACGUUAGAUAAUUUUACUCGUCAUGUGUAUCCCACUCCUGUUAGUUUCAUUGUUUGGUAUGGUGUGGCGGCAUUGUCUGUGAUUCAUGAGUGGCUGUCGUACGGUGCAGACUAUAUAAGAUCUUUGUUCCGGGUCUCAAGCAAUAUUUCAAAGCCACGAGUAAGUAAAGUGUAGUGUUUGAGGUGGAAGAGCAGUGGCAGCAGCCGACGCGGGUUACACUUACAGCUGAUCGGGACGGGACGGCCUCUCCCUCCUCCCUCACACUCCCACGACAAAUAUCACACAACAGCUGACUCCAGUGGCCCAGGAGUGUGCCGACUAUAUGCUUUCAAGUCACUCCG